rnacentral:rRNA from 1 species
CCCGGUGAUCAUAGCAAGAGGGAUACACCCGUUCCCAUCCCGAACACGGCCGUUAAGCCUCUUGCGCCGAUGAUACAGGCCUUCGGGCUGGGAAAGUAGGUCGUUGCCGGGU